UACGAAGGGGGGCUAGCGUUGUUCGGAAUUACUGGGCGUAAAGCGCACGUAGGCGGAUUGUUAAGUUAGGGGUGAAAUCCCGGGGCUCAACCCCGGAACUGCCUUUAAUACUGGCAAUCUCGAGUCCGAGAGAGGUGAGUGGAAUUCCGAGUGUAGAGGUGAAAUUCGUAGAUAUUCGCAAGAACACCAGUGGCGAAGGCGGCUCACUGGCCCGAUACUGACGCUGAGGCACGAAAAGCGUGGGGAUCAAACAGG
rnacentral:rRNA from 1 species